rnacentral:pre_miRNA from 13 species
CCUCCACCCGGCUCCGUCCACCCAGUGUUCAGACUACCUGUUCAUUGUCAUACUGGUGUACAGUAGUCUGCACAUUGGUUAGACUGGGCACGGACCCUCG